AUUGAACGCUGGCGGCAUGCUUUACACAUGCAAGUCGAACGGCAGCACGGGCUUCGGCCUGGUGGCGAGUGGCGAACGGGUGAGUAAUGCAUCGGAACGUACCGUGUAAUGGGGGAUAACGUAGCGAAAGUUACGCUAAUACCGCAUACGCCCUGAGGGGGAAAGUGGGGGACCGCAAGGCCUCACGUUAUACGAGCGGCCGAUGUCGGAUUAGCUAGUUGGUGGGGUAAAGGCCUACCAAGGCGACGAUCCGUAGCGGGUCUGAGAGGAUGAUCCGCCACACUGGGACUGAGACACGGCCCAGACUCCUACGGGAGGCAGCAGUGGGGAAUUUUGGACAAUGGGCGCAAGCCUGAUCCAGCCAUGCCGCGUGAGUGAAGAAGGCCU
rnacentral:rRNA from 1 species